rnacentral:rRNA from 1 species
UACGAAGGGGGCUAGCGUUGUUCGGAUUUACUGGGCGUAAAGCGCACGUGGGCGGGUUGUUAAGUCAGGGGUGAAAUCCUGGAGCUCAACUCCAGAACUGCCUUUGAUACUGGCAACCUAGAGGCUGGAAGAGGUUAGUGGAAUUCCCAGUGUAGAGGUGAAAUUCGUAGAUAUUGGGAAGAACACCAGUGGCGAAGGCGGCUAACUGGUCCAGAUCUGACGCUGAGGUGCGAAAGCGUGGGGAGCAAACAGG